GGAGCCGAGGAGAGGACGUGCGGGGACACGGCGGAUGUGAGCGCUUCUCAGGAGUCUUCUUGAGAUUUUGAUUUCUGAAUCGCUGUGUACUUCCUCAAGGCUUCAGAGCACUUUGAAAAAAAUGGAUGAACUGUUCCAAGGAACAAAGCUGGGCUUGUCUGACUACAAUGCUGCAAUGUUCAGCUGGCCUCCCUUUGCAUGUUGGCUUGCUGUAGCUGUCCUCGGUGUUCACUAAGAAGAGUCCUCAUACCCUCCGGUUGUUCUGCUAAAAGUUUGACGAAGCUGAGCUGAAGUUCCUUCUGUAUAACUGUGUUUUCGGCAAAGAAAUCUGUUUGGAUUAUUUCUAUAAAACAUACAAAUACAAAAACUGUGGCACUUUUUUUAUUCAGGUGCUGCAAUGUUUGUGCAAAGAAGCUCUUCUAUUUUCACCUGGGGCCCCGCAUGGUUACACGUAAAGACAAAUGAAAUAAGACGCUGUGUUUUACAAUUUGCAGAUAAGAUUCAGAGAUAAUUUACAACAUCUUUCAUCCUCCAUCUCAUCAACUUUGACUGGAAACCGACACCACCCGCUGGCUCACUCUGUGAACUGUUGCCUUAGCAGUUCUAUUUAUUCUCUGCAUGCGUGUGUUUUCGUUCUGCACUUCUGUUUUUAUUAUUUUUGAUUCAUACCUGUGGGCCG